rnacentral:rRNA from 1 species
UACGUAGGGGGCAAGCGUUAUCCGGAUUUACUGGGUGUAAAGGGAGCGUAGACGGCUGUGCAAGUCUGAAGUGAAAGGCAUGGGCUCAACCUGUGGACUGCUUUGGAAACUGUGCAGCUAGAGUGUCGGAGAGGUAAGUGGAAUUCCUAGUGUAGCGGUGAAAUGCGUAGAUAUUAGGAGGAACACCAGUGGCGAAGGCGGCUUACUGGAUGAUGACUGACGUUGAGGCUCGAAAGCGUGGGGAGCAAACAGG